UGGCAGCUGAAGAUGAUGAACUUCUGGCACCUUCUCCAAAGCCAGGCUCCACAGCGAAUUUGCAGAUGAGUCCACAGCCUGGGAAAUGCUCCCAGAUUUGGGCAUUGCUCAGACUGGCUGGGAACAAAAGGUUCCCCCUGUGCUGGGGCAGAUGCAACUUCAGUUGGCUGCCCAACUGCUUUUUGGCAGGGCUGGGGGCAUGGGUUGGGGUGAUUACAAAAUGGGAGUUUGCUCCUGGCCCUGCUAACAGCCCCCACCACCCAGCAUGGCCUGGGCUGACGCUGGGGCUGGGGCUGGGGCAGCCAGCCCAACACAAACAAACCCCCAUGGUGGGAGCAGAGGUGGGACUCCAGAACCUGUGCAGGGGCUGCUUUGCUUUGCAGGCAAGGAAUGGCUUGGCCUGCUCCACUGCCCUUGUUUGCUUUGGGAUCACUGUUAUUCUGGGGGGUAGUUCAGGAGGGGAAAGUGUGGGCUUCUCUCCCCCAUGGGUGGGAUUUUCCCUAGCAUGUGGAGGUUGGGCCUUCCUCAGACCCCUGACAGAGAUAAGAGUUGUUUUCUUGUUUCCCCAUGUCUCUAAUCACUUUUCAACAGUUUGUUGUUUGUUUUUCUAGAGAAGCGUUCAGUGUAAGGUCCAGUCGGGAUUGGGAAGUGCUUGGGAGCAGCUGCAGCGUGGAUGGGCCGUGCCCUUGGAGAAGGCUGAGGACAUCAUUUGGGACCAGCUUUUCUCCCAGCGGAGGAUGGCAUGAGCCGGGCUCUGCGGGUGCUGAGGCUGCUCUGGGCUCUGCCAGGGCUCUGCUGGGCUCUGCCCUGGGCACAGCUGGGCUGGCUCUGCCCUCACAUUGCUCUGACAGCUUUGCAUCAGACGAGCCCGUUUGAGCACAGUGCCUGAGCUUUCUCCUUUGGCAGAAGUGCCAUGAGUGGCCAAAGCUGGCAAGUGAGCUGUGUUCCUGAGGCAGUGCAGUCUGGAGCUGAUGGAUGGAGAGUUGCCCUUCCCACUUCCAAACCAGAGCAAAAGGCCGUAAGUGGGAUUUUUCAUCUGUAAGAAACCCGUGACAAUUUCAGAGGGAAUGUGCAGCUCAUUCACAGAGUGAGAAGGAAGGUCAUCUUCUAAAGGAUUUGGGGUUUGACAGAGUUUAGA